rnacentral:tRNA from 1 species
UCCGGGAUAGCUCAGUAGGUAGAGGCGGUCGGCUGUUAACCGACUGGUCACAGGUUCGAGUCCUGUUCCCGGAG